rnacentral:rRNA from 1 species
UUAGCGGCGGACGGGUGAGUAACACGUGGGUAACCUGCCUCAAAGAGGGGAAUAGCCUCCCGAAAGGGAGAUUAAUACCGCAUAAUAUGUUUUGGUCGCAUGACCGAGACAUCAAAGGAUUUUUCUUCGGAAAAUUCCACUUUGAGAUGGACCCGCGGCGCAUUAGCUAGUUGGUGAGGUAACGGCCCACCAAGGCAACGAUGCGUAGCCGACCUGAGAGGGUGAUCGGCCACAUUGGAACUGAGACACGGUCCAGACUCCUACGGGAGGCAGCAGUGGGGAAUAUUGCGCAAUGGGGGAAACCCUGACGCAGCAACGCCGCAU